CCUAGAAAAAAGAAAUGGCAAUGCCGUAAAAAUCGCUUGCUAGGUCCGUAAAUCUCAGUAAAAACCUACAAUAAAAUGUCCGCUCCGAGAUUGAAAUACUAAUCUGUGUUACAAACAGGUGCUGAAAAAUGUACAUUAUCAGAAAAUAAUCAAUAAAUGUGUUUUAAAGUUACACCGAUCAAUUAAAUCCAAAACAUGCACUGCUUGUGAACUUUCAUCAAAAUGUCAAUUUCCUACAAUGACAAAAGAAAUUACAUUGUGUGCAUUCCAUCUCUAUACAUGUUGUCUGUUUAACGUCCCGACCUAAAGAGAAAUAAAAAGACUAAGUUUUUCUUAAUAUAAACCCGCGUCACGUGAUGUCUCCUCAAUCUUGCGCGCGCGCUGUAUCUAAAAUAAAACAAAAACUUUCCAAACUAAACAUGAAACUUCUCCGGUAACUAAAUAAUAUAGACCCUUUACAAAAACAAACAAACAAACAAAUACCCCCCCCCCCCCUUUUUCCAAAUCAAUAAAUCAAAAAAAUCAAUUGUCCAUUCAUCAGAGGGGAAAGACUGCCUAACAAUUGUUUUCAAAACAAUUGCUUUAUAUUUAUUAUUAUUUUUUUUUUUUCUUCCGCCUAAUUUUUUUUCUUGCGUAUUAUUGAUGUUUCAAAAGAUGUCGCUUAGAUAUUUGGAAUAUGGUAUCGUAUAGUUUAUACGCUU
rnacentral:lncRNA from 1 species